CUAACCUUGGGUUAUAUUAAACCAGCUUUGAAUAACCCAGCCCACGAUUGUGCUAAUGGUAAAACGAAUUUAUCGAAGCUGAGGAUAUCAAACAUAAAAAUAAAUUCGAACUGGAAAAUGAGAUCUGGGGAAAAAUUUGGACUGGAAAAUGCAGGAAUGUAUCACCUACUCCGUCAGUACCCUCUUGAUACAGAAAUGAGAAAGCUUCUCAUCAUUUUCCCCCUUAAAUUCUUAAAUUAAAUAAUAACUCUCUUCCUCAAUAACAGAUAUAAACUUCCUAUAAAUACUGACUAUGAACCGAGAAGGUUACGUUGCGUUUAUUUUUAGGGAGCAUCGUCAUCUGAUAACCUUCAGAGUGUGAAUUGGUUAAUUACUUAGUUUAAAAAUUGUUCUUUGGUUUUUGAUAACAUCCGACAUAGCGUGAUGCUGAAACAGCUGAUCACGCGUCACAACCAAAAAUACAACCAGAUGACGUGACCGUCAAAAGAGCAUACCGGAUCAGUACAGGGAAGGGAAGUAGGAAGUCCUUUUUUCUGUACACUCGCAUAUUGCGACAACUUUUGCACGAAAUAUAAACGAAUAUGUACUGUACUCCGAGAAUAUGUCCAGUAGAAAAUUAAUUUUUCGAUGGGGAAAAUACCUUGACUGAAUUUUGAACGGUAUGUUACGCCAUAAUAUGUAUGCUUGAUUACACAUGUACAGUCAACUCUUUUGUAAGCGGAUACCCUCGGGAAUUGGAGAAAGUGUGCGUCAGUAGAAAAUUCCGUCUACGAGAACAUUUCCCAAGAGCAGAAAUCAGAAAAAAGUAGUGGAGUGCGUUAAGCCGGACUCUUGUUACUGUCAAACGAACGCACAGCAUGCUUUCCCGCAGACAAAUGGAGAUUUGACAAAACUGAUCCACACUGUUCUGUUGCUUUGUCAGAGGUUAUACUUUUGUUGACUCACAAACUCAAGACACUGAUAUUGAUCCGACAAAUCUUACUGCCAAGAGUCAAUUAUAUAUACAUGGGGUUUCCGCUUUGGAGAGAGAUAAACGAAAAAAAAAAAAAAAGGACAGUUUCGCUUUUCAAAGUGUCUGCGUCCGCUUUCGGGAGAGUAUUCGCUUACGGGAAUGUGUAAAUACAGAGUUUAGCUGGGAGGCAAAAAAGGGGAAUUGAAGAAAGAGUCUGUUAGAGGAGAGUUGUACAGUAAUUUAUAGCUCUGAUGAAAGGCAGAACGUCAAGUAAUAAAAGGAAGAAAAAAUUACACGUGUGGUAAGAGAUCUGAAUUCCUUUGAAGUAAUGUCAUUACCGGAUGCGGAGGAUUUAAAGGAUACGAAACUGAUGUAGUUAUUUUGAAGGGAGCUGUGUUGUUAGGAGCCGCAAAUACUCUUUGAUAAAAUUUAACUCGAAUCAUACUCAAACCAAUUUGGAAAACUUUGCUUCAAGGAUGUUAUAAAUGCCAAAUCUUCCAAAGCGCAGAGAGACUACAGCAUCUGUUACGAUUACUUACGUGACAUAGCAGAUACCGCUGGACAGGUCUCAGAAAUAAACAAUACCACCGUCUCGCCAUCGUGUCCUCUCUGGAGCGAAACGGAAAGAAGGGAAGUCCGCUGCAAACCCUUGCACGCGCUCGGCAGUCGGCGACCUUCGAUCUUGGUGUCAAUUACCAUAUUAGAAUAUGAAGUUUUCUCGUUGGACGUUCCCUCUUUUUGUCACUGUCUUGAUCCCUGCAGCUUGUGCUCUUCAGUGCAAUGUAUGUCAUUUUGAUACUCAAUUAAAUCAGAACGCUUGCAACACCACCGUUAAGAAUUGUCCGAAAGACUCGCCAUUCUGCAUGACACAAUCAGACCGCAGGCCAGAUGGAAGCAGGACAUUCGCGAGGGACUGUGUACCCCCUAGGGUUUGCAGAAAGGACUAUUGCAAGGAAGUGAUCAUAAAGGGAAUAGGACGGACGGAUUGUAACAUCACCUGCUGUCAGGAAAAUUUUUGCAACAGGGACGGCGCCACAACAGUUGGCAGCAAAGGACAUAUGACACAUACCAACUGUAUGUUAGAAUACUUUCUCAUUAUUGUAGGUAUCUGGUUUUCUCUUCUAGGAAGACAGUUGCAACUUUAAGAAGUUUAUUUUAGCUUUAGGAAGUUUCCUUAGAAUUCGCAGCCUUUGUUGGGAUCGUCAAGUAACACACUUUAUCCAUCUCUAAAAGCAAAUGUUGCUAAGGAGUUGGAAUUCGGUGAUGAAGAAAGAGUUAAGGAUUUACUUUUCUGUGCGUCAAGCUUUACUAACUGUACCAGCCAUUCUUACUUUUCUGGAAAUCUUGACAACAGAGUCAAUUAUCUCGUUACCAACUCUUUUCAGCUUAUCACAAUUUGUGAUAAAUAAGCCCGAAUAAAUUGUUCAUAAACCUACUUAUUUGCAUAAGCCUAAAGGGCAAUAGCAAUUCGUAAUCUUUUAAAAAAAAUAAACAAGUGCUCAUUCAUUCCGAAUGGCACCCGAAAAUCA
rnacentral:lncRNA from 1 species